CUCUAUUCUCCUUCCGUCAUCAUCUUUGGAACUCUUAUCAUCUCUAUUUCUCUUUCAUUUCUAUUCAUUUUCUCUUUUUUUUUUUUUCUCCAUCCCGAUUUCCCUGAUCUGAAUUGUAAUUUACGAUUUGGUUUUGGCCUUACUCGAUCUUUGUUGCGUCUCUUCAGAUAUUGAUUUCAACCUUCAUUUUAUCUCUUUUUUUCCAAUUUGAUAUAAUUUUUUGACAUUGAAAUUAGGGUAAAAGGUGCUGAUGUUUUGUUACGGAUUGAUUCAAAAUAGUUAAAAAUGGAUCUAUCAUUUACGAAGCUAUUCAGCCGGUUGUAAAUAUAUGUCAUUUGUUGUAGGGUUUAAUGUGGAAACAGUGGAAUAUAACAACAUCAGCUUCACUGCUUGGGAUGUUGGUGGCCAGGAUAAGGAUGGGUUUGAAUUAUCAAAGGGAGCUAUAUGAUCGAUGUGGAGGAAAUUGGAAGUGAGUUUUCAGGUUUUUGCAGGCUGUGGAACAAUCCUCUGAGAUGGUGGGAGACAUUAUCAAGCAAUGUACUAUUUCAUUAUAUCAAUCAAUUACUUUGUGUGUGUGGUUUCGGUUCAUCACUGAGAUCAUUCCAGGACAAAGAUGACUCACCAUUACAACCAAAGGGGAUACGUACAUUGUUAUUGAAACCCCCAAGCCUAUGCUACCCACGAGUAGCUUUCGUGCUAAUGAUCUAGGAAGGCAAAAGCUGAUGCAACAGCAAUAGCACCGAACACUAUAAGGCAUCGAUGGAUUGGUCGAUAUGAGGCUCAUUUGUGGGAUAAGAAUUUUUGGAAUGAAUCACAGAGCAAGAAAGGAAGACAAGGUUCUUAAUAAUUAAUUUACACUUCUCAUAUUUUCUUUUUCUGGAUUUUUUUCAGUUAAUUAUUUUAUUUAUUGGCAUGUUCAUUAUUAUGUUGUCUUGGUUCGUGAUGGCAAUGGAAAACAACUGGAUGCAGUAUAUCUUGGGGCAUAUGACGAUGAAGAAGCUGCAGCACGUGCCUAUGACUUGGUAGCACUGAAGUAUUGGGGCCAAGAUACCAUUCUCAAUUUUCCAUUCUCAAAUUAUCAAGAGGAGCUCAAGGAGAUUGGAGGGCCAGUCAAAAGAAGAACAUAUUGGAUCCUUAAGAAGGUUUUUUAGUUAUUAAAUCCUUAUCCGGGAGACUUGCACCCACAUAAUUAAUUCUUAUCUCACCUGCUCCUAAGUUCUUAAACUUGAUGUUUGAUUGGUGUUUUGACCUGCAGCUAGUAAAAAGCACUUCUAUUCAUCUUUAUUUUAUAUUUCAUGUGUAUAUCUAUAUCUAUAUCUAUAUUUUUUUACCGUUAUUUUGAUUUGUAAUUAUAGUAAUUGAUUUUUACUCUU